AUUGAACGCUGGCGGCAUGCUUUACACAUGCAAGUCGAACGGUAACAGGCCGCGAGGUGCUGACGAGUGGUGAACGGGUGCGUAAUGCAUCGGAACGUGCCCAGUCGUGGGGGAUAACUACUAGAAAGAGUAGCUAAUACCGCAUACGAUCUAAGGUUGAAAGCGGGGGACCGUAAGGCUUCGCGCGAUUGGAGCGGCCGAUGUUAGAUUGGGUAGCUGGUGGGGUAAAGGCUCACCAAGUCAACGAUCUGUAGCUGGACUGAGAGGACGAGCAGCCACACUGGGACUGAGACACGGCCCAGACUCCUACGGGAGGCAGCAGUGGGGAAUUUUGGACAAUGGGCGCAAGCCUGAUCCAGCAAUGCCGCGUGCAGGAAGAAGGCCUUCGGGUUGUAAAAUGCUUUUGUACGGAACGAAACGGCGCUGGUUAAUACCCGGGGCUAAUGACGGUACCGUAAGAAUAAGCACCGGCUAACUACGUG
rnacentral:rRNA from 1 species